GACGAACGCUGGCGGCGUGCUUAACACAUGCAAGUCGAACGGAAAGGCCCUGCUUGCAGGGUACUCGAGUGGCGAACGGGUGAGUAACACGUGGGUGAUCUGCCCUGCACUUCGGGAUAAGCUUGGGAAACUGGGUCUAAUACCGGAUAGGAACCAUCUUUAGUGUGGUGGUUGGAAAGUUUUUUCGGUGUAGGAUGAGCUCGCGGCCUAUCACCUUGUUGGUGGGGUAAUGGCCUACCAAGGCGGCGACGGGUAGCCGGCCUGAGAGGGUGUACGGCCACAUUGGGACUGAGAUACGGCCCAGACUCCUACGGGAGGCAGCAGUGGGGAAUAUUGCACAAUGGGCGCAAGCCUGAUGCAGCGACGCCGCGUGGGGGAUGAAGGCCUUCGGGUUGUAAACUCCUUUCGCUAGGGACGAAGCUUUGUUGUGACGGUACCUAGAUAAGAAGCACCGGCUAACUACGUG
rnacentral:rRNA from 1 species